CCUACGGGAGGCAGCAGUGGGGAAUAUUGCACAAUGGGCGCAAGCCUGAUGCAGCGACGCCGCGUGAGGGAUGACGGCCUUCGGGUUGUAAACCUCUUUCAGUAGGGAAGAAGCGAAAGUGACGGUACCUGCAGAAGAAGCGCCGGCUAACUACGUGCCAGCAGCCGCGGUAAUACGUAGGGCGCAAGCGUUAUCCGGAAUUAUUGGGCGUAAAGAGCUCGUAGGCGGUUUGUCGCGUCUGCCGUGAAAGUCCGGGGCUCAACUCCGGAUCUGCGGUGGGUACGGGCAGACUAGAGUGAUGUAGGGGAGACUGGAAUUCCUGGUGUAGCGGUGAAAUGCGCAGAUAUCAGGAGGAACACCGAUGGCGAAGGCAGGUCUCUGGGCAUUAACUGACGCUGAGGAGCGAAAGCAUGGGGAGCGAACAGGAUUAGAUACCCUGGUAGUCCAUGCCGUAAACGUUGGGCACUAGGUGUGGGGGACAUUCCACGUUUUCCGCGCCGUAGCUAACGCAUUAAGUGCCCCGCCUGGGGAGUACGGCCGCGAGACAACACAANAGAUAGACGNGNGAGAGNGCGAGACGACGACGAGGGAGAGG
rnacentral:rRNA from 1 species